rnacentral:rRNA from 1 species
UACGGGGGGAGCAAGCGUUGUUCGGAUUUACUGGGCGUAAAGGGCGCGUAGGCGGUCAGCACAAGUCAGUUGUGAAAUCUCCGGGCUUAACCCGGAAAGGUCAACUGAUACUGUGCGACUAGAGUGCGGAAGGGGCAACUGGAAUUCUCGGUGUAGCGGUGAAAUGCGCAGAUAUCGGGAAGAACAUCAGUGGCGAAGGCGGCUACCUGGCCCAAUACUGACACUCAGGUGCGACAGCGUGGGGAGCAAACAGG